rnacentral:rRNA from 1 species
GAUGCAGCCAUGCCGCGUGAAUGAUGAAGGCCUUAGGGUUGUAAAAUUCUUUCGCUAGGGAUGAUAAUGACAGUACCUAGUAAAGAAGCCCCGGCUAACUUCGUGCCAGCAGCCGCGGUAAUACGAAGGGGGCUAGCGUUGUUCGGAAUUACUGGGCGUAAAGCGCACGUAGGCGGACUUUUAAGUCAGAUGUGAAAUCCCGGGGCUCAACCUCGGAACUGCAUUUGAAACUGGAAGUCUAGAGACCAGGAGAGGUUAGCGGAAUACCGAGUGUAGAGGUGAAAUUCGUAGAUAUUCGGUGGAACACCAGUGGCGAAGGCGGCUAACUGGACUGGUACUGACGCUGAGGUGCGAAAGUGUGGGGAGCAAACAGGAUUAGAUACCCUGGUAGUCCACACCGUAAACGAUGAGAGCUAGUUGUUGGCAGGCAUGCCUGUCGGUGACGCAGCUAACGCAUUAAGCUCUCCGCCUGGGGAGUACGGUCGCAAGAUUAAAACUCAAAUG